rnacentral:rRNA from 1 species
CCUACGGGCGGCAGCAGUGGGGAAUAUUGCACAAUGGGGGCAACCCUGAUGCAGCGACGCCGCGUGAGUGAAGAAGUAAUUCGUUAUGUAAAGCUCUAUCAGCAGGGAAGAAAGUGACGGUACCUGAGUCAGAAGCCCCGGCUAACUCCGUGCCAGCAGCCGCGGUAAUACGGAGGGUGAGAGCGUUAUCCGGAUUUACUGGGUGUAAAGGGAGCGUAGACGGCAGUGCAAGUAUGGAGUGAAAGGCGGGGGCUCAACCCCCGGACUGCUCUGGAAACUGGACGGCUGGAGUGCAGGAGAGGUAAGUAGAAUUCCUAGUGUAGCGGUGAAAUGCGUAGAGAUUAGGAGGAACACCAGUGGCGAAGGCGGCUUACUGGACUGAAACUGACGUUGAGGCGCGAAAGCGUGGGGAGCAAACAGGAUUAGAUACCCUUGUAGUC